rnacentral:lncRNA from 1 species
GUCAGAAUUCCUGCAGGCUUCCCCUGAGAGGGUGAUGAAUGAAGUGGGGAAAUGAAGCCAAAGCUGGAAUGAGGACCCCAGGAAUUAAAGAGAUGCCAGUAAUGUGGACUGUCAAGAAAGUCAGGUUAAAAGUCAGCAAGGCCAAAGGGGUGGGAUUGCCCAAGCCCUUUGGAGAACAUACCUCACCAUGUGUCCUACAUGCUAUAAGUGGAGUUAUAGGACCUAUUUGUCCAGUUGGAUUUCUGUAUUGUUUUGGUCCCAUCCCUUCUAUGGUCCAAUAUUCCUCCCUUUUGGAAUUGGAAUGUUUACUCUAUGCCAUUGUAUACUUAACUUGCUUUUGAUUUUAUAGGAGCUUGCAGCCAAGAAUUUGCCUUGGGUUUCAUAUGAGACUUUGGACUUGGAUUUGGUGUAAUGCUGAAACUGUUAAGCCUAUGGGACUGUUGGAGAUGACCUAAAUGCAUUUUGCAUUGUGAGAUGGACAUGAGCUUUUGGGGGCCAGGGGUAGAAUAUUAUGGUUUGAUAUGAAAUAUCCCCUUCCCAAAGUUCCUGCUACAAUUCAGGAAUAUUUAAAGGUGAAAUGAUUGGAUCGUUAACAGCUAUAGCUCAAUCAGUUUAUCCUAAUUUGAAUGGAUUAAAUUGUAGGCAAGUGGAGCAUGACUGAAGGAGGUGGGUCACUGGGGGCAUGCCCUGGAAGGGUUCGUCUUCCCUUCAGCCCCUUCCCCUCUCUUUGCUUUCUGGCUGCCAAGAAUGGAACAGCACUACUCAACCAAGUUCUUUCACCUACCAUGUGCUGCCUCACAUUAGGCCUAGGGCCUAAGUUGACCAUCUAUGGACUGAGACCUUGGAAACCAUGAGCCCCAAAUAAAUUUUUCCUGCCGCUAAGUUAUUCUUCUCAGGUAUUUUGGCCACAGUGAUAAAAAGUUAACUAACAUAUCAUGUUAUCAUAGUGACAUCAUUCAAACAUUUGUAUAAAUUGUAUCAAUCAUUUAAAAAGUAUUUCAGCCUAAG